CGGCACGGGUGAGUAACACGUAUCCAACCUGCCGUCUACUCUUGGACAGCCUUCUGAAAGGAAGAUUAAUACAAGAUGGCAUCAUGAGUUCACAUGUUCACAUGAUUAAAGGUAUUCCGGUAGACGAUGGGGAUGCGUUCCAUUAGAUAGUAGGCGGGGUAACGGCCCACCUAGUCUUCGAUGGAUAGGGGUUCUGAGAGGAAGGUCCCCCGCAUUGGAACUGAGACACGGUCCAA
rnacentral:rRNA from 1 species